rnacentral:lncRNA from 1 species
AGCUAAGGCCAAAUGGAAAGUCUGGCUGUGUAUAAGGUCACACCUCAUUACUACCGUCUCUGCCCUGGGAACCUCAAAGACAAUCUAGAUUUUUCUCCUCUCUCGAGCAGCCGUUACUGCCUGGGUUCGGGGAAUGCCAUGUGCCAGUGUGCCCCCACCCUUCCCACCCUUCUCCCCAUGUGUUCUGUAGGGGGAGCCUGCAUGUUCAGCCUGGAUGAAAAGAGGCUUCAGCCUGCGGGGGACAAACAGGUUCCAGAAAGAGGGAGCAGCGGAGGGUCCCUCAGAUGUGAAGCCCUAAAUUGCUGACACAACAUGGCAUCUCUCACAACCAAAUUCCUGGAAAGAACAUUUGACAGGUCUCUGGAAGAGACCUCUUCAGGGAGGCAGACUGGAAGCAACCUGAAAGAGACCCCUGGCCUCACUGAGCUGAGACUGAAGAGCUGGGCCGUAUUCGAAAAGGUCAUAUUCGGACAAGGAGGGAAGAAUAAACCCGUUGGACUCUCACAACCUGCCCUGUCAUGCGCAGAGGAGAAGAAUCACUGUGUCCUCCUACAUAAAAGGGGAGAAAUCAGAAAAAUAAGAGAGAUGCUUUGAACUGACCAUCUCAAAUUUUUCCUAAGAAAAAUGAAAAUUCCAGAUUUAAUCCCAGCAGAGAACAGAGAUUAGAGAGAGAAGGUUGUGGUGGGAUCAUCUUAAUCCAUCCUUGAAGAUAUAAAAACAGCUCCCUCUCCCUAAGCCUUAGGAAUCGCAACAACCGCUCCUUGCUGGAGGACAAGCACGGACUGCACUUCCGGGUCUGUCCUUUAGUGGGAUCUUAAUAUGGGGAAGCGUUGCCCUCAAUUCCCAUCUCUAAGCCCCAGACCAUUAAAGUUGGCAGAACUGAUCAUUGAAACAGUAAACAUUUGUCAUCAGGCAUUCUGCCAAGGGUUUUAUAUACAUUUCCAUAUUUAAUCCUGAAACACACCCUCCGCUGAAGUCAGUAUUGUUAUUUUAUUUC